AAUUGGUAGUGUUUUUGGUAUUUCAAUCCUGUUCAAUUGAUAUAAAUUUAAUUACUUUAAAUAUCAAUAGUAUUUAAUAUUUUUCUCUCACAAGAAAACAAAAUUACAAAGGAAAAGUUUUUGGUCAUCAAGUGACCAUCUUCAGCCUUUAUUCUAAAAUAGAAGGUUAUUCUUUACAAACAUUCCAAAUCAUUAAAAAUAUACAGUUCAAUUCAAAAAUUAACAACAGAGAUAAUUAUAAUACAAAAAAUUAGUCAAAGAAAAAAGGAUUAAAAUAGAUUAUACAAGAACAUCUCUAAGAUGGCAAUUUUACUAAGAUUAACAUAAUAAAUAUUAAAAAGUCUUAAGAAAUAGCAUAUUCUGAGUUCCAUGUCUUCUUGGUGCAGUGCAUGUUCCCAGAUGUCUGGUAGAGUACAGAGAUGCAUAUGAAAAGGAACAAGAAAAAAGCCUCUUGCAAGGUUGUCAUGCCAUCUGGAGGCACCAAAUCCAUGAUUAGGGCAAGUCUUCUGGAAGAAUAUCAUUUAUUAUUUUGCAAGUUUUCUUCUCAUUUGUAUUUCAAAUGCCUCUGUGGUUCUCACAUCAGAAAUAUUAGAAACAGAUCUAACCAUUCUAGCCUUUUACCAUAAUAUCUAUAGAUCAUAUUCAUAAUAUGUAGAAAUGAGGACUGGUAAGUCUUUCUUGAUGUAUAUCAUCUUUAUGCUCCUUAAAUCUCUCUCUCAAAUUCUUAGCUGUCUUCACUGUAUAAUUUUCUGCACAGACAAGUUAUAAACCUUUUCUUUGCAAUUUUGUUUCUUGUGAGAAUAAAUAUUUUUCUGCUGAUGAGCCUGUAUAUUUUUAAUAACUUAAGUUUAAGCAGAAAGUGUUUUCUCUUUUUAACUACUAUUGAUAUAUUAACC
rnacentral:lncRNA from 1 species